CUUUUUAACUUGAAAAAUUUUAAUUUGAAAAGAUUUCUACAACGAGAAAAAAAACAAAUCUAGAUUGAAAAGUAGAAUGCAAGUCUAGAUUUAACUUUUAUCUUAAGAAAUCUUCAGAUAAGAUUUUUAGGUUGAAAAACGAUGAUCUUCAUUCAAGAAUAAACAAUUUUUGGUUAAAUUUUGACAUCACAUAAUUUGACUUAUAAAUUCUCCAAAUUUUAACAUCUCCUUUUCGAAUUAGCUGCGCAAUUUCGCCCAUUUUUCCAUAGAAAGUGCAAUGGCUUUUAUCGCUCAAACUGAAAUUGGCCGAAAACAACACAAACACAAAAACAAACACAGAACGAAAGCGAGGCAAGUUCAGGGCCGAAUUCUAGGCAAAUAGAACGACCGCAGCAAUGUGGCAACUUUUAAUCAGCUGCGAGCAGCAAUUGCAUACCUUUUAACCAAUUAAAAGGGCGCAAGGAAAUAUGCAUUUUGUGGUUAGUUGGAAGUGAAAUGAAAAGAAAAGUUUAUACAGUGAAAAAAAACAUUCUAUAAUCAAGGAAACAAGCUGAAAUUAUAUCAACAUGAAACACCCAGAAUAAAUUAUAGUAUGAAAGCAAGACUAUACUUCUAGAAAAUUUCUAUACUGUGGAUUCUUGAAAUUUAAGAAUAUUUUCUCAA